rnacentral:tRNA from 1 species
GGGGUUGUGGCUCAGCAGUAGAGCACUCGCCUGGCAUUUGCGAGACCCUGGGUUCAAUCCUCAGCACCA